UUUAGCUAUUGUGAUAUUAUGUUAGCUCUUCUAUUCAUUAUGUUUAGAAUCACAUUUAGCUUCUACGAUAUUAUGUUAGCUGUUCGAUUGAUUACAAUUCAGAACUGCUUUUAGCUAUUGCGGUAUUUGGUUAGCGCUUCUAUUCAUUAGUUUGCGAUAACUAUAAAUUGAACGCAAUACUUUUAGCUUCUAAGAUGUGACCUGCAAUUGCAAAGUUACUACCCAUUUUUGUUUUCUUUCCCCUCAGCUUCAAAAUCUAUUGUUCAACUCCAAAUUUAAAGACAUGUAUACAACCUAGGAGAAUAG
rnacentral:misc_RNA from 1 species